rnacentral:rRNA from 1 species
AUUGAACGCUGGCGGAAUGCUCUACACAUGCAAGUCGAACGGCAGCACGGACUUCGGUCUGGUGGCGAGUGGCGAACGGGUGAGUAAUGUAUCGGAACGUGCGCAGUCGUGGGGGAUAACGUAGUGAAAAUUACGCUAAUACCGCAUACGAUCUAUGGAUGGAAGCGGGGGAUAGCAAGAGCUCGCGCGAUUGGAGCGGCCGAUAUCAGAUUAGGUAGUUGGUGGGGUAAAGGCCCACCAAGCCAACGAUCUGUAGCUGGUCUGAGAGGACGACCAGCCACACUGGAACUGAGACACGGUCCAGACUCCUACGGGAGGCAGCAGUGGGGAAUUUUGGACAAUGGGCGAAAGCCUGAUCCAGCCAUUCCGCGUGCAGGAUGAAGGCCCUCGGGUUGUAAACUGCUUUUGUACAGAGCGAAAAGGUUUCUACUAAUACUAGGAGCUCAUGACGGUACUGUAAGAAUAAGCACCGGCUAACUACGUGCCAGCAGCCGCCGUAA